GGGCGCUUGGUCUAGGGGUAUGAUUUUCGCUUCGCACCAUCAAUCAAGAAUGUGCGCCUUUGUGAAAGGUCGUGGGUUCAAUUCCCACAGCGUCCA